rnacentral:rRNA from 2 species
AGCGGCAACAGCUCAAAUUUGAAAUCUGGCGCAAGCCCGAGUUGUAAUUUGUAGAGGAUGCUUCUGGGUAGCGACCGAUCUAAGUUCCUUGGAACAGGACGUCAUAGAGGGUGAGAAUCCCGUAUGUGACCGGCCCGCACCCUUUACGUAGCUCCUUCGACGAGUCGAGUUGUUUGGGAAUGCAGCUCUAAAUGGGAGGUAAAUUUCUUCUAAAGCUAAAUACCGGCCAGAGACCGAUAGCGCACAAGUAGAGUGAUCGAAAGAUGAAAAGUACUUUGGAAAGAGAGUUAAAAAGCACGUGAAAUUGUUGAAAGGGAAGCGCCUGCAACCAGACUUCGUGGCAGUGUUCCGCCGGUCUUCUGACCGGUUUAUUCUCUGUCGCGAGGCCAUCAUCGUCUAGGCCCGCCGGAUAAGACCUUAGGAAUGUAGCUCACCUUCGGGGGAGUGUUAUAGCUUAUGGUGAUGCGGCGAGGCUUGGGCGAGGUCCGCGCUUCGGCAAGGAUGAUGGCGUAAUGGUUGUCGGCGGCCCGUCUUGAAACACGGACCAAGGAGUCUAACAUCUAUGCGAGUGUUCGGGUGUCAAACCCCUACGCGUAAUGAAAGUGAACGGAGGUGGGAACCGCAAGGUGCACCAUCGACCGAUCCUGAUGUCCUCGGAUGGAUUUGAGUAAGAGCAUAGCUGUUGGGACCCGAAAGAUGGUGAACUAUGCCUGAAUAGGGUGAAGCCAGAGGAAACUCUGGUGGAGGCUCGCAGCGGUUCUGACGUGCAAAUCGAUCGUCAAAUUUGGGUAUAGGG